AGAACGAACGCUGGCGGCAUGCCUAACACAUGCAAGUCGAACGCGUGUAGCGAUACACGAGUGGCGGACGGGUGAGUAACGCGUGGGAACCUGCCCUGGAGUGUGGGAUAACCGAGGGAAACUUCGGCUAAUACCGCAUACGACCUGAGGGUGAAAGAUUUAUCGCUCUAGGAGGGGCCCGCGUCGGAUUAGCUAGUUGGUGGGGUAAAGGCCUACCAAGGCAGUGAUCCGUAGCUGGUCUGAGAGGAUGAUCAGCCACACUGGGACUGAGACACGGCCCAGACUCCUACGGGAGGCAGCAGUGGGAAUAUUGGACAAUGGGGGCAACCCUGAUCCAGCAAUGCCGCGUGAGUGAUGAAGGCCUUAGGGUUGUAAAGCCCUUUCGCGCGCGACGAUGAUGACGGUAGCGCGAGAAGAGCCCCGGCUAACUUCGUGCCAGCAGCCGC
rnacentral:rRNA from 1 species